rnacentral:rRNA from 1 species
CCUUGACAUCCAGAGAACUUAGCAGAGAUGCUUUGGUGCCUUCGGGAACUCUGAGACAGGUGCUGCAUGGCUGUCGUCAGCUCGUGUUGUGAAAUGUUGGGUUAAGUCCGCAACGAGCGCAACCCUUAUCCUUUGUUGCCAGCGGUUCGGCCGGGAACUCAAAGGAGACUGCCGGUGAUAAACCGGAGGAAGGUGGGGGUGACGUCAAGUCAUCAUGGCCCUUACGGCCAGGGCUACACACGUGCUACAAUGGCGCAUACAAAGAGAAGCGACCUCGCGAGAGCAAGCGGACCUCAUAAAGUGCGUCGUAGUCCGGAUUGGAGUCUGCAACUCGACUCCAUGAAGUCGGAAUCGCUAGUAAUCGUAGAUCAGAAUGCUACGGUGAAUACGUUCCCGGGCCUUGUACACACCGCCCGUCACACCAUGGGAGUGGGUUGCAAAAGAAGUAGGUAGCUUAACCUUCGGGAGGGCGCUUACCACUUUGUGAUUCAUGACUGGGGUGAAGUCGUAACAAGGUAAGCGUAGCGAG